UCCAGACUCCUACGGGAGGCAGCAGUGGGGAAUAUUGGGCAAUGGACGCAAGUCUGACCCAGCAACGCCGCGUGAAGGAAGAAGGCUUUCGGGUUGUAAACUUCUUUUAAGGGGGAAGAGCAGAAGACGGUACCCCUUGAAUAAGCCACGGCUAACUACGUGCCAGCAGCCGCGGUAAUACGUAGGUGGCAAGCGUUGUCCGGAUUUACUGGGUGUAAAGGGCGCGUAGGCGGGAUGGCAAGUCAGAUGUGAAAUCCGGGGGCUCAACCCCUGAACUGCAUUCGAAACUGUCGUUCUUGAGUACUGGAGAGGUUGACGGAAUUCCUAGUGUAGCGGUGAAAUGCGUAGAUAUUAGGAGGAACACCAGUGGCGAAGGCGGUCAACUGGACAGCAACUGACGCUGAGGCGCGAAAGCGUGGGGAGCAAACAGGAUUAGAUACCCCGGUAAG
rnacentral:rRNA from 1 species